AGAGUUUGAUCCUGGCUCAGAUUGAACGCUGGCGGCGUGCCUAACACAUGCAAGUCGAGCGGUAACAGGUGUAGCAAUACAUGCUGACGAGCGGCGAACGGGUGAGUAAUGCUUCGGAAUCUACCCUCUAGUGGGGAAUAACCAGCCGAAAGGUUGGCUAAUACCGCAUACGUCCUACGGGAGAAAGCAGGGGAUCGUAAGACCUUGCGCUGAUGGAUGAGCCGAAGUCGGAUUAGCUAGUUGGUGGGGUAACGGCUCACCAAGGCGACGAUCCGUAGCUGGUCUGAGAGGACGACCAGCCACACUGGAACUGAGACACGGUCCAGACUCCUACGGGAGGCAGCAGUGGGGAAUAUUGGACAAUGGGGGAAACCCUGAUCCAGCGACGCCGCGUGUGUGAAGAAGGCCUGCGGGUUGUAAAGCUACUUUUAGUGGG
rnacentral:rRNA from 1 species